rnacentral:rRNA from 1 species
UACGUAGGGUGCGAGCGUUGUCCGGAAUUAUUGGGCGUAAAGAGCUCGUAGGCGGUGUGUCGCGUCGGCCGUGAAAAACCUGGGGCUCAACUCUGGGCGUGCGGUCGAUACGGGCAUCACUUGAGUUCGGCAGGGGGAGACUGGAAUUCCUGGUGUAGCGGUGAAAUGCGCAGAUAUCAGGAGGAACACCGGUGGUGUAGACGGCUCACUGGACCGUAACUGACGCU